rfam:Salmo salar isolate Sally breed double haploid chromosome ssa27, whole genome shotgun sequence.
UUCAUUCACUACUGUAAGUCGCUCUGGAUAAGAGCGUCUGCUAAAUGACGUAAA